rnacentral:rRNA from 1 species
UACGUAGGGGGCAAGCGUUGUCCGGAAUCAUUGGGCGUAAAGAGCGCGUAGGCGGCCCAGUAAGUCCGCUCUGAAAGUCAGAGGCUCAACCUCUGAAUGCGGGUGGAUACUGCUGGGCUAGAGUCCGGAAGAGGCGAGUGGAAUUCCUGGUGUAGCGGUGAAAUGCGCAGAUAUCAGGAAGAACACCCGUGGCGAAGGCGGUUCUCUGGGACGGUACUGACGCUGAGACGCGAAAGCGUGGGGAGCGAACAGG